rnacentral:lncRNA from 1 species
CAGAUAGUUCGACAUCUGCUCCUGGAUCAUUUAUAUUUUCUCUUCGAAAUAAUGACGACCUUGCGCCUUUCAAGGCUCCGCUGAGAGAUGAGAAUGACGGGGCGGCAAUUUACCGUGGUAGUCGUUGGGGACCAUCAUUUGGUGAGGGUGCUGACUUGCACAUUGACGACAAUGCGAGAUCAAAUACCUGGUCCUUCACAAGAUUUGGUCGCUCCUACCAAUCUCCACAUGAAUACACUUACGACAAAACCAACACACUCUCGCUCCUUGCAGGGAGCUAUGAAUUCUCUCCGUCAGAAAUCGAAACACUAUAUCUAAAAUGAAAC